rnacentral:rRNA from 1 species
AUUGAACGCUGGCGGCAGGCCUAACACAUGCAAGUCGAGCGGAUGAGUGGAGCUUGCUCCAUGAUUCAGCGGCGGACGGGUGAGUAAUGCCUAGGAAUCUGCCUGGUAGUGGGGGACAACGUUUCGAAAGGAACGCUAAUACCGCAUACGUCCUACGGGAGAAAGUGGGGGAUCUUCGGACCUCACGCUAUCAGAUGAGCCUAGGUCGGAUUAGCUAGUUGGUGAGGUAAAGGCUCACCAAGGCGACGAUCCGUAACUGGUCUGAGAGGAUGAUCAGUCACACUGGAACUGAGACACGGUCCAGACUCCUACGGGAGGCAGCAGUGGGGAAUAUUGGACAAUGGGCGAAAGCCUGAUCCAGCCAUGCCGCGUGUGUGAAGAAGGUCUUCGGAUUGUAAAGCACUUUAAGUUGGGAGGAAGGGCAGUAAGUUAAUACCUUGCUGUUUUGACGUUACCAACAGAAUAAGCACCGGCUAACUUCGUGCCAGCAGCCGCAGUAA